UCUUGAGUGACUUUAAAAGUGAUCUCAUGAAAAUUUAACCAGAUAUUAUAUUAGGCAAUCAGAAAACUGGAGGGAGAUUCGAAUCCUCAUAUACUUUUUCCUUUAUAAGUAAACCUAUGAAGGAGAGGGAGCCUGAGAAAUGGCUACCACAUCCAAGGACGGAAGCAGGUGCGAAAACUACCCACUCCCGGCACGGGGAGGUAGUGACAAAAAAUACGGAUACGGGACUCAAUUGAGGCUCCGUAAUUCGAAUGAGUACAAUCCUAAUGAAGUAUGAAAAUAGGGUUGAGAGUUUGGCUUAGA
rnacentral:ncRNA from 1 species